CAGUUAUCAACUACAUGUUAUGGUCAUUAAUGAAAAUAAACAGCCUACUAACUCCACGAUUAUGGCCCGAUAAUCUAGUACCAUAAAAAGUGGGACCACGUGCUCGAUGGUUACAUCAGAAUCAUCUAUAAAAAGAGAGAUAAACGAGCAGCACGGAUAAGAUAAUUCUGGGAUAAGACUCUGCCACUCUUAAUAUUCUUAUUAGCUGUUCAUCAACCUCCUCUCUAACUUAAGCAUCGGAGGGUCUCCGUCGGAUACAACUCCAAUCUAUGAGGACUUUGUCUUGCAGGUGCUCUUUACCAGUGACAGGC
rnacentral:lncRNA from 1 species